AUUGAACGCUGGCGGAAGGCUUUACACAUGCAAGUCGAGCGGCAGCACGGGGGCAACCCUGGGGGCGAGCGGCGAACGGGUGAGUAAUACAUAGGAACAUGCCCGGUCGUGGGGGAUAACACUUCGAAAGAAGUGCUAAUACCGCAUACGUCCUGAGGGGGAAAGCGGGGGAUCGCAAGACCUCGCGCGAUUGGAGGGGCCGAGGUCGGAUUAGCUAGUUGGUGGGGUAAAGGCCUACCAAGGCAACGAUCUGUAGCUGGUCUGAGAGGAUGAUCAGCCACACUGGAACUGAGACACGGCCCAGACUCCUACGGGAGGCAGCAGUGGGGAAUUUUGGACAAUGGGGGCAAGCCUGAUCCAGCCAUGCCGCGUGAGUGAAGAAGGCCUUCGGAUUGUAAAGCUCUUUCAGCAGGGACGAAGCGGUGUGAUCUAACAUAGCGUGGUAAUGACGUUACCUAAAGAAGAAGCACCGGCUAACUACGUG
rnacentral:rRNA from 1 species